GGACCUUGGCUCAGUGGUAGAGCAUCUGCGUGGCGUGCAGAAGGUCAGAGGUUCAAUCCUCGACAUCUCCA
rnacentral:tRNA from 1 species